rnacentral:rRNA from 1 species
AUGAACGCUAGCUACAGGCUUAACACAUGCAAGUCGAGGGGCAUCAGUUUGGUUUGCUUGCAAACCAAAGCUGGCGACCGGCGCACGGGUGAGUAACACGUAUCCAACCUGCCUCAUACUCGGGGAUAGCCUUUCGAAAGAAAGAUUAAUAUCCGAUAGCAUAUAUUUCCCGCAUGGGUUUUAUAUUAAAGAAAUUCGGUAUGAGAUGGGGAUGCGUUCCAUUAGUUUGUUGGCGGGGUAACGGCCCACCAAGACUACGAUGGAUAGGGGUUCUGAGAGGAAGGUCCCCCACAUUGGAACUGAGACACGGUCCAAACUCCUACGGGAGGCAGCAGUGAGGAAUAUUGGUCAAUGGACGCGAGUCUGAACCAGCCAAGUAGCGUGAAGGAUGACUGCCCUAUGGGUUGUAAACUUCUUUUAUAUGGGAAUAAAGUGGUCCACGUGUGGAUUUUUGUAUGUACCAUAUGAAUAAGGAUCGGCUAACUCCGUGCCAGCAGCCGCGGUAAUACGGAGGAUCCGAGCGUUAUCCGGAUUUAUUGGGUUUAAAGGGAGCGUAGGCGGAUUGUUAAGUCAGUUGUGAAAGUUUGCGGCUCAACCGUAAAAUUGCAGUUGAUACUGGCAGUCUUGAGUGCAGUAGAGGUGGGCGGAAUUCGUGGUGUAGCGGUGAAAUGCUUAGAUAUCACGAAGAACUCCGAUUGCGAAGGCAGCUCACUGGAGUGUAACUGACGCUGAUGCUCGAAAGUGUGGGUAUCAAACAGGAUUAGAUACCCUGGUAGUCCACACAGUAAACGAUGAAUACUCGCUGUUUGCGAUAUACAGUAAGCGGCCAAGCGAAAGCAUUAAGUAUUCCACCUGGGGAGUACGCCGGCAACGGUGAAACUCAAAGGAAUUGACGGGCACCCGCACAAGCGGUGGAGCAUGCUGUUUAAUUCGAAAAUACGCGAAGAACCUUACCUAGGUUUGACAUCCCCGGCAAAGCUAUAGAAAUAUAGUGGAGGUUAUCCGGGUGACAGGUGGUGCAUGGUUGUCGUCAGCUCGUGCCGUGAGGUGUCGGCUUAAGUGCCAUAACGAGCGCAACCCUUAUCUUCAGUUACUAACAGGUCAUGCUGAGGACUCUGGAGAGACUGCCGUCGUAAGAUGUGAGGAAGGUGGGGAUGACGUCAAAUCAGCACGGCCCUUACGUCCGGGGCUACACACGUGUUACAAUGGGGGGUACAGAAGGCCGCUACCUGGUGACAGGAUGCCAAUCCCAAAAACCUCUCUCAGUUCGGAUCGAAGUCUGCAACCCGACUUCGUGAAGCUGGAUUCGCUAGUAAUCGCGCAUCAGCCAUGGCGCGGUGAAUACGUUCCCGGGCCUUGUACACACCGCCCGUCAAGCCAUGAAAGCCGGGGGUACCUGAAGUACGUAACCGCAAGGAGCGUCCUAGGGUAAAACUGGUAAUUGGGGCU